GGAGCUAACGCGUUAAGUCGACCGCCUGGGGAGUACGGCCGCAAGGUUAAAACUCAAAUGAAUUGACGGGGGCCCGCACAAGCGGUGGAGCAUGUGGUUUAAUUCGAUGCAACGCGAAGAACCUUACCUACUCUUGACAUCCAGCGAACUUUCCAGAGAUGGAUUGGUGCCUUCGGGAACGCUGAGACAGGUGCUGCAUGGCUGUCGUCAGCUCGUGUUGUGAAAUGUUGGGUUAAGUCCCGCAACGAGCGCAACCCUUAUCCUUUGUUGCCAGCGAUUCGGUCGGGAACUCAAAGGAGACUGCCGGUGAUAAACCGGAGGAAGGUGGGGAUGACGUCAAGUCAUCAUGGCCCUUACGAGUAGGGCUACACACGUGCUACAAUGGCGCAUACAAAGAGAAGCGACCUCGCGAGAGCAAGCGGACCUCAUAAAGUGCGUCGUAGUCCGGAUCGGAGUCUGCAACUCGACUCCGUGAAGUCGGAAUCGCUAGUAAUCGUGGAUCAGAAUGCCACGGUGAAUACGUUCCCGGGCCUUGUACACACCGCCCGUCACACCAUGGGAGUGGGUUGCAAAAGAAGUAGGUAGCUUAACCUCUCGGGAGGGCGCU
rnacentral:rRNA from 1 species